AGGACGAACGCUGGCGGCGUGCUUAACACAUGCAAGUCGAGCGGAAAGGCCCUUCGGGGUACUCGAGCGGCGAACGGGUGAGUAACACGUGGGCAACCUGCCCCUAGCACUGGGAUAACUCCGGGAAACCGGGGCUAAUACCGGAUAUGACCUUUGAGGGCAUCCUCGAAGGUGUAAAGGAUUCUGGCUAGGGAUGGGCCCGCGGCCUAUCAGCUUGUUGGUGGGGUAACGGCCUACCAAGGCGACGACGGGUAG
rnacentral:rRNA from 1 species